CGGGACGGGGGGCUCGUGCUCCAGCCGCGCGCGGGACCAGGCCGGCUGAGAGGCCUCCGACGGGAAAGGAGCACAGCCCCUCUGCCUGUUUGUGACUCCCCCGGUUUCCCCUGAGAGCAUCUUGGCCUCUGCACGAGAGCGGGUCUCACCACAGACCUCCUCCGCAAAGUCGCUGCCUGGUCAGGAGAGGCCAGGAGGUGUCACAGCGAAGGCCGUCUCCUCAGGGUAGCCGUCCAGAGUGCGCCUGUCAAGUGCGGGGAGAGAAGCGAGUGAAGGCCUAGAAAGACACACUGUACAGCAGGAUUGUCACUCAGCAGAUGAAACUCACAGAGAUAGAAAGCAACUAGCCCAAAACUCAACAAGAGCAAAUGGAUUGGAUUCCAGGUGGAACUUCAAAGCUUUCACAAGUACGUGAUACAGUUCUGAGGUGCGGAAGAAGGUGGAGUUUGUUUUCCAUGUGGCAGAAGAGUUUCAAAUGUUACCACCAGCUUGUCAUUGAUAUUUAAGUUCUUUUUGGCUCAAGGAUUGUUCCCUAUUAAAACAAUUAAAUUUACUUGGGAAGAAUGGGGCAUUUAUGGUAAGUC